GUCUGCAACUCGACUCCAUGAAGCUGGAUUCGCUAGUAAUCGCGCAUCAGCCAUGGCGCGGUGAAUACGUUCCCGGGCCUUGUACACACCGCCCGUCAAGCCAUGGAAGCCGGGGGGUGCCUGAAGUGCGUGACCGCAAGGAGCGCCCUAAGGUAAAACCGGUGACUGGGGCUAAGUCGUAACAAGGUAAC
rnacentral:rRNA from 1 species